GUGCCUAAUACAUGCAAGUCGAACGAGAGCGACCGGUGCUUGCACUGGUCACUCUAGUGGCGAACGGGUGAGUAACACGUGGGUAACCUGCCCAUCAGAGGGGGAUAACAUUCGGAAACGGAUGCUAAAACCGCAUAGGUCUUCGAACCGCAUGGUUUGAAGAGGAAAAGAGGCGCAAGCUUCUGCUGAUGGAUGGACCCGCGGUGCAUUAGCUAGUUGGUGAGGUAACGGCUCACCAAGGCCGUGAUGCAUAGCCGACCUGAGAGGGUGAUCGGCCACAUUGGGACUGAGACACGGCCCAAACUCCUACGGGAGGCAGCAGUAGGGAAUCUUCCGCAAUGGACGCAAGUCUGACGGAGCAACGCCGCGUGAGUGAAGAAGGUUUUCGGAUCGUAAAACUCUGUUGUUAGAGAAGAACAAGUGCUAGAGUAACUGUUAGCACCUUGACGGUAUCUAACCAGAAAGCCACGGCUAACUACGUGCCAGCAGCCGCGGUAAUACGUAGGUGGCAAGCGUUGUCCGGAUUUAUUGGGCGUAAAGCGAGCGCAGGCGGUUCCUUAAGUCUGAUGUGAAAGCCCCCGGCUCAACCGGGGAGGGUCAUUGGAAACUGGGGAACUUGAGUGCAGAAGAGGAGAGUGGAAUUCCAUGUGUAGCGGUGAAAUGCGUAGAUAUAUGGAGGAACACCAGUGGCGAAGGCGACUCUCUGGUCUGUAACUGACGCUGAGGCUCGAAAGCGUGGGUAGCAAACAGGAUUAGAUACCCUGGUAGUCCACGCCGUAAACGAUGAGUGCUAAGUGUUGGAGGGUUUCCGCCCUUCAGUGCUGC
rnacentral:rRNA from 1 species